GACGGGUGAGUAACACGUAAAGACUUGCCCUGCAGUCUGGGACAACUAUUGGAAACGAUAGCUAAUACCGGAUAUUGCCGCAUGGCGAAAGCUAUAUGCGCUGUAGGAGAGCUUUGCGUCCCAUUAGUUAGUUGGUGAGGUAACGGCUCACCAAGACCGCGAUGGGUAGCCGGCCUGAGAGGGUGAACGGCCACAAGGGGACUGAGACACGGCCCUUACUCCUACGGGAGGCAGCAGUGGGGAAUAUUGGACAAUGGACCAAAGUCUGAUCCAGCAAUUCUGUGUGCACGAUGACGGUUUAGGAUUGUAAAGUGCUUUCAAUCGGGAAAAAGAAAGUGAUGGUACCGAUAGAAGAAGCGACGGCUAAAUACGUGCCAGCAGCCGCGGUAAUACGUAUGUGCAAGCGUUAUCCGGAUUUAUUGGGCGUAAAGCGCGUCUAGGCGGUCUGGUAAGUCUGAUGUGGAAAUGCGGGGCUCAACUCCGUAUUGCGUUGGAAACUGCCAGACUAGAGUACUGGAGAGGUGGGCGGAACUACAAGUGUAGAGGUGAAAUUCGUAGAUAUUUGUAGGAAUGCCGAUAGAGAAGUCAGCUCACUGGACAGAUACUGACGCUG
rnacentral:rRNA from 1 species